UUUUAUAUAGUUUAAUUAAAACAUUAUAUUUUCAAUAUAAAAAAAGUAAAUUUAUUAUACUUAUAAAAU